AUUGAACGCUGGCUGCAGGCCUAACACAUGCAAGUCGAGCGGAUGAGAGGAGCUUGCUUCUCGAUUCAGCGGCGGACGGGUGAGUAAUGCCUAGGAAUCUGCCUGGUAGUGGGGGACAACGUUUCGAAAGGAACGCUAAUACCGCAUACGUCCUACGGGAGAAAGCAGGGGACCUUCGGGCCUUGCGCUAUCAGAUGAGCCUAGGUCGGAUUAGCUAGUUGGUGAGGUAAUGGCUCACCAAGGCGACGAUCCGUAAUUGGUCUGAGAGGAUGAUCAGUGACACUGGAACUGAGACACGGUCCAGACUCCUACUGGAAGCAGCAGUGGGGAAUAUUUGAGAAUGGGCGAAAGCCUGAUCCAGCCAUGCCGCGUGUGUGAAGAAGGUCUUCGGAUUGUAAAGCACUUUAAGUUGGGAGGAAGGGUUGUAGAUUAAUACUCUGCAAUUUUGACGUUACCGACAGAAUAAGCACCGGCUAACUCUGUGACAGCAGCCGCAGUAAAAC
rnacentral:rRNA from 1 species